rnacentral:tRNA from 1 species
AUUAAUGUAGUUUAAAUAAAACCUUGUCUUUUCAAGACAAAAAUAGGAAAACCUUAUUAAUA